ACGGAGAGAUGGAGUCGAAAGCGCUGCGGGGAAUGUGGGUUGGCGAGGCCGGCCCGACGCUGGGAGCCGAAGGGGAACCGCCGGGCACGGAGCCCGGGGUCUCUCUAACCCCGCACCCCGCACCUGGCGAGCCUGCAGGACCCCGCGGGCCCGGGAGCGGCCCGGCCUGACCCACCUGCCCGAGGCCUGGUCGCCAGGAAAGGCUCCACCGAGGGCUCCGUCCAGUCCCGGGCGUUAAAUGAGUGCAAUAAGAGGGGGACCAAACCUUCACAGGCAAAACCUAGUGGCUUGUCACGGGGGCAACUUGCCAUGAAAUCUGUAGAGCGCCACGACUCACCCACCCGGGCCAGCAGCUGGGGCUCUGGCAGCUGUAGACAGAGACCAAAUAUGGAAAGAUGACGGAGUGGGAAACCAGGAGAAGAAGCCGGUAUGAUUCCCUUAGAAGUCAAUGAAGAACCUGCCUUCCCACGGAAGAAGCAGGAUACUCACCUCACCUGACCUGCACCCUGGUCAGCAUGCUCCGUGGCCACUGUGCUGGUGAGGUCCCUGUUCUCUCUGGAGGCUCAGCAAGACCCAGGCCAAGAGACAGACAUCAAGCCUGACCGUCCGGGAUGACAAAGUUCAGUGUCUGCUUCUCCUUAAGCCAAGAGCCCAGGAAGCAGCCAAGGAGCAGCGCCCAGGGGCCUCCAUGGAGGAGACAGCUCAG